AUUGAACGCUGGCGGCAGGCCUAACACAUGCAAGUCGAACGAGUGGCGGACGGGUGAGUAAUGCUUGGGAAUCUAGCUUAUGGAGGGGGAUACCUAAGGGAAACUGUAGCUCAAAACGCGUACCACAGGAUGUGCCCAAUUGGGAUUAGGUAGUUGGUGGGGUAAAGGCUCACCAAGCCGCCGAUCUCUAGCUGGUCUGAGAGGAUGACCAGCCACACUGGGACUGAGACACGGCCCAGACUCCUACGGGAGGCAGCAGUGGGGAAUAUUGCACAAUGGGGGCAACCUGACGCAGCCAUGCCGCGUGAGUGAAGAAGGCCUUCGGGUUGUAAAGUUCUUUCGGUAGCGAAGCGUUAACUACAGAAUAAGCACCGGCUAACUCCGUGCCAGCAGCCGCGGUAAUAC
rnacentral:rRNA from 1 species